AGGCCAGGGCGGAAUAGGGUCAAGGAUGCGAGGUUCUGGUCCUUGCGACAGCGGUUCGAAUCCGCUCGGGGCUA
rnacentral:tRNA from 1 species